AUACAGAUAAAAUAUUUUACAAGAAGUUAAUAUACUUCAUAAUCGUUUGGAAAGUUUCAACAAUUGUGCAUUUGCAAUACCGAUGGCCAUUUUUAAAUAUGAAGUGUGUGGCAAAUGAUUUUAAACAAAACAAUAAAUCUAAAAAAGAAAGAAAGAUCAACACUAACAAUAAUUAUUACAAACACCAAAUAACAAUAUCAGAUCUUUUAAUUAUUAAAACUAUAAAUAAUACAAUGUAUUAAAAAUAAUAUCGUAUCAUUUAUCUGCAUAAAAAGUAUAAUUAUAUUAUGUUUCAAAAUUGUUUCUAUGAAAAUUGAUGUUUACAACCAUGUAAGCAUUUUACAUUAAACUAAGAACAAUUUUAAGUAUAAAUAAAUAAACCAAGAAUGACAUACAUGUAUUUAUACUAAUUUAACAACAAUUUUGUAAGAUGGUUUCCGACUGACUAUUUUUAAUCGAACUGAAAAAAAAAUAAGGGAGAAAUCUAACUCUGAAUUUGAUCUUUUCAUAGAGAAAAAAAAUACAACAGUUAAUUGUGUAGAUACUAGUCUUUUUCGAGGUUAAAACUAUCCGCGGACUAAAAUAUACCCCCACCUCUACGGAUCGAUCUAUACAAAACCUUUUAGGUAAUAUCUUCGACCUUUGGCAGACUAUAAAUGUGAGAACAGUUAUCCUCUUUACAUGCAUUUAUCAUAACUUUGUCCAGCUCUUGAGGUUGUGAUUUAGGUAUCAGGGGCGGAUGCAGGAAUUUUCGAAAGGGGGGUGCUAACCCAGGGCAAAGGGGGGGGGGGUGCAAAGGGGUGCAAAACAUAUGUCCCGAUACAAAUGCAUUGAUCGCAAAAAUUAAGGGGGGGGUGCGCACCCCCGGAACCCCCCCCCCCCUGGAUCCGCCACUGGGUAUCUACAUUUCUGUAUUCGUGAAUAUUUUUCUCUAUUUUUUUUUCGCCAUUAUUCUCCAUGCUUUAUUCCCCAACUCUAAUUCUCUGCACUUUAUAUUUCAGCGCCCCUUUUUUUCUCUUUUCUUUAUUUUUUGACUCAUUUUUGAACUUUUUUGUAAACCUCAACCAGAGUAGACGAAACCCCCUUACUUAUCUGUAACAAAUGACAAAGUUUCCUUAUUGACUGACAUUCUCCUGAAUUUAUUGCAUAAGAAUGUUUUUAUUUCUAUUUCUCUCUAAAAUUCAAACUAUCCUAAAUAAUUGAAGCAUAGACCUCUCUAUAUUAAACUUUUAGAAAAUAUUUAGUUUAAACAGUAAGAUAAUAUUAAUUAUAUCGCAUAGAACAUACCUAAUGUAACCAAGAUGCAGUCAUGUUUACGAGGGUCUGGAUGGGGUUUAAAGAGUAAAGAAUAACGUAGAGGAUAAAUGUAUUAACACUUCAUACGAAAUAAAAUACAGCCAAUAGUACACAUACAUGUACGUACAUGCGCCAACAGUAAGAUCUUUUACAAUACAAUUUCUUAUGUUUCAUAGAAGUGUAAAUAAAAUACAAUAAACAUGCUACCAAAUACGAGCGGGGAAUGAUAUUCUGUAAUGAACACAAAAUGUGAAACACAGCUUGUACAUGUACCAUGGAAGAAUUAUAGUGUCAAUAUAAAUAUGCAUGUUUCUAUGCAUGAAUAAUGUAAAAAUAAGAAGAAUUGCAUGGCAUGAUUGCCAAUGAAAGAACUCUUCACCAGAGACAAAAUGACAUAGUUUUCUACUAUAAUAGGUCACUAUAUGGCCUUCGACGAUGUGCAAACCCAUAUCACAUCUAGUAAUCUAUAAAAUCCGUAAUGGCAAAUGUAAAAUAAUUCAAACGCGAAAACUAACGACUUGAUUUAUGUACAAAACAAUGAACGAAAAACAAAUCUGAUAUACAGCAACAAGCGACAACUAACGAAUUACAGGCCUAACUCCUGACUAUCGACACGUACAUACAUAAUAGUAUGGAGGGUUAAUUAAACAUGUGUGUUGGUGCAAGACCAUCUCACUAAUGGGCUGACCUAAAGUAUUUACAAAAUAUAUGAUUGAUUUGUGUAUAUAGUCAACAGGUGUAUCUAAAUAAAAUUAAAUAACAUGUUUACCAUAAAUAUAUAUCUACAAAAAUGACAUUUACAUGAAACAUAAAAAAACACGUUGUUUCUUCACUAAGAAAUGCAAACAUUUGUUUUCA
rnacentral:lncRNA from 1 species